ACUCCUGCGGGAGGCAGCCGUGGGGAAUAUUGGACAAUGGGCGCAAGCCUGAUCCAGCCAUGCCGCGUGAGUGAUGAAGGCCCUAGGGUUGUAAAGCUCUUUCACCGGUGAAGAUAAUGACGGUAACCGGAGAAGAAGCCCCGGCUAACUUCGUGCCAGCAGCCGCGGUAAUACGAAGGGGGCUAGCGUUGUUCGGAUUUACUGGGCGUAAAGCGCACGUAGGCGGACUAUUAAGUCAGGGGUGAAAUCCCGGGGCUCAACCCCGGAACUGCCUUUGAUACUGGUAGUCUUGAGUUCGAGAGAGGUGAGUGGAAUUCCGAGUGUAGAGGUGAAAUUCGUAGAUAUUCGGAGGAACACCAGUGGCGAAGGCGGCUCACUGGCUCGAUACUGACGCUGAGGUGCGAAAGCGUGGGGGGCAAACAGGAUUAGAUACCCGAGUAGUCCCAUGA
rnacentral:rRNA from 1 species